rnacentral:rRNA from 1 species
UAAUACAGAGGGUGCAAGCGUUAAUCGGAAUUACUGGGCGUAAAGCGCAUGUAGGUGGUUGAAUAAGUUUGAUGUGAAAGCCCCGGGCUUAACCUGGGAAUGGCAUUGAAAACUGUUUAACUUGAGUCGGUGAGAGGGCAGUGGAAUUUCCGGUGUAGCGGUGAAAUGCGUAGAGAUCGGAAAGAACAUCAGUGGCGAAGGCGUCUGCCUGGCACCAGACUGACACUUAAGUGCGAAAGCGUGGGGAGCAAACAGGAUUAGAUACCCUGGUAGUCCACGCUGUAAACGAUGAGAACUAGCUGUGUGUAGGGGAUUAACCCUAUGCGUAGCGAAGCUAACGCGUUAAGUUCUCCGCCUGGGGAGUACGGUCGCAAGAUUA